UUUUAGUAUUUUGCACGUAUUAUCCAUAAAACUGGUUAAGUCAUAACGCAGAGAAACUCACUACAAUUUUUCGGAAAAAUAAGCAAAUGAUUUAAAAAGUAAAUAAGUUAAUGCCUUUAUCGGCAUUUAAGAAUCAUUUAAAGUUGAAGCCUUCAGCUGACAGAGUGGUCUUCGAGUGAACUACUGACCUCGGUUUUCGGGAGGGAGAUGAAAGGUACGGCUAAAGGAGAAGAGACUGCAAUGAAGACAGAGUUUGUUAGGAUGUAUGGUUAUGCAGAGUUAGGGCAGAGGUUGAAGGAAUUACGGCCGCCGGAGAAGGAGGGUGGGUUUUCAUUGCAGGAGUUGAAUGAAAGGUUGAUAAAGUUAAGGGCAAUCGAAGAUAAGGAAACCGAGGUUUGGAGGAGUGGGGUUCACUCCAUGGAUAUAAGGUAGUGCUUGCACACUUUGAAGACGUCUGAAGACAACAGAAAAAUAAAUCAGAUUUUGAACGUUCAGAACGUGUUUAUCAGAUCAGCAAGAAGUUCAAACUAUCCGCCCAAGGUUGCGAUAGACUUUUGACUUUGUUUGAUCAGAUUUAAGUGGCAUGUAAAUAGACAGUUGGUUAUUUUGUAAACAAGUAUGUUAAAAUUUAAAGGUGGUUACCUUGGACUCUCUUGAUGUAUGUAAAUAAAAUGGACUCGAUUUUUGUUA